CGGUGUCGGGUUGUACCUCUGAUGUCCCCAAUGUCCCCAAAGCCCCAAUACCCCAAUGUCCUGCUGUCCCCAAGGAUGUCCCUCACUCGGUGGCAGUGACACUGACCCGGUGCCAGGCAUUGCUGAGGACCCUGUGCAGGUUCCAGAUGUCCCCAAUGACCCCAAUGUCCUUGCUGUGUCCCCAAUGU
rnacentral:lncRNA from 1 species